AGUCCAAAUAUCACUAGGAGGCUGCGUGUGUGUGUGUGGGGGGGGGGGGUCAAAACCAAGGGGCAACGACCCCUCACCCCACACCCUCUCUCUCUCUGCCCAGCUUUAUUUCUCGUCCCCUUUCGUCUCACCCUCUCUCGUUGUUCGUCAUUGCCGCUCUGAUUCCGGCCGGCUCCGGCGGGUAGGGUUUCAUCGAUGGCGGUGGCGGAAGCGACGGCGGCGGUGAAAACGACGGCCUGCUAGGGUUCACCGCCUCCAUCUUCGUCCCCUCGUUGCAGCCAUGAGUAGCUGGAAUAGCCACUACUAGUCCCCGUGCAACUUCGCGGCGUAUGAUAAAGUCGACAAAGGCGAAGCGAGCACCAACAAGCUAAGAUUACAAAAACAUCCAUGAGCAUUGCAAACACAUGCAUAUAUACAUAUGUCUAACCAUUUUGAUGAUUUCAAAUAUUUGACUUGCCAGGCGUAUGUACGAAAGCCAUCUCCAGCACCUGUCAAGCGGCAGCUAUGUGACGUGGACAUGCUCAGUCGUGAGCUUGUCGCGUCAAAGGAGAUUACAAUGAAGGCCCUCAGGGAGUUGAACAACUCCCCGUGGAAUGAGAGGGAUUAGAUCAUCAACGACAACUUGGAUCACUAUGAUAAGAAACUGAAACUCAAUGACCAGAAGGACAAACUGGCUGCCGAGAUCGAUUCUCUGAAGGAGAUACGGCUUCUGAAGGACGAGAGGGUGGAACUCAAGACACUAAAAGUCCAUUACAGAAAGGAGGGGGAGAGCAACAGUAACAAGUUGCGUGAGAUGAAGAUCAUUCUUCAGAGAGAGAUGUAAUGCGCAUAUGUAGGUAGUUUGGACAUAUUUUCGAAGUUAGCAGUCACUUUUGCUUCUAGCUAGCUAGUAUACUACUGUUUGGGUAUUUGAAGUUAUCACUAGAGGUACUAACCUUUUGUGAAGCCGAAUGUAAGUAAGUUUAAAUGGCUACAUAUAUACUAGGUU